rnacentral:rRNA from 1 species
UACGGAGGGUGCGAGCGUUGUCCGGAAUCACUGGGCGUAAAGGGCUCGUAGGCGGUCUGUCGCGUCGGGAGUGAAAACCAGGUGCUUAACACCUGGCUUGCUUUCGAUACGGGCAGACUAGAGGUAUUCAGGGGAGAACGGAAUUCCUGGUGUAGCGGUGAAAUGCGCAGAUAUCAGGAGGAACACCGGUGGCGAAGGCGGUUCUCUGGGAAUAUCCUGACGCUGAGGAGCGAAAGUGUGGGGAGCGAACAGG